rnacentral:RNase_P_RNA from 1 species
ACAGCCGGGCAUUCCGUCGCUCGCCGAGGCAUAUCGGCGUGAGGAAAGUCCGGGCAACGCAGAGCGCCAUAUUUCUUAACGGGAAGCUAUCGGUGACGGUAGAGUAGCGUGACAGAAAAUAACCGCUGCCGCCGAGCCUCAUGCUCAGGCAGUAAGGGUGAAAAGGUGAGGUAAGAGCUCACCGGGCAACAUAGCGAUAUGCUGCGCCGCACGCCUUAUGGGUUGCAAGGCCAAGUACACCGGCAUUCAAGGGCUGCUCGUCCAUUGUCGGGGGGUAGGCUGCUAAAGCCGGGUGGCAACAUCUGGCUCAGAUAAAUGACGGAACGCUCCGAUGUCCGCUGUCGGCAACGGCAGUGAGGCAAAAGGGGCCGACAUAACCCGGCUUAUCGUCCGGCUGUCUUU